rnacentral:lncRNA from 10 species
GUCCUGGGACGUGCACAGACAGCUAAGAUGCCAGGACAUUCCAGAAGGUGGGAAAGGCACCUGAGUAAUUUGACUCUCCUGCCUGGACCCAGCGUACAGAUGGGAUUGUGCUUCAUUGCUGGACCCAGCAUUUAGGGAUCGUCACUCCCGUGGAUGAUCAAAGGCGCCUGUAAUUUCAGCUACUCCGGGGGCUGAGGCAGGAGAAUCGCUUGAACUCGGGAAGCAGAAGUUGCAGUGAGCCAAGGUCGCACCACUGCACUCCAGCCCAGGCGACAUUGUGAGACUCCAUCUCAAAAAAAAAAAAAAGAAAAAAAGUGUACUAACAAGACCCAGCACACAGAGGAGACUUUUACCAUUGUAUGAACACCCAUCAAACAGUACACAUCAUCAUUGUGAGUUCUGAAUCUCACACAUAGAGGAAGUCAAAGGUGGAAAACUUGACUCUCAUAUUUGGAUCCAGUCCACAGGUGUGAUUUUGACGCACACUUCUGCCCAGCACCUGAGUAAUGUGAUUCUUCAGAAUUGGCCCGGCCCACAAAUAGGAUUGUGCCACACUGCUGGACCCAGUGCCUAAGUGAUGUAACUCUAUUCUUCUGCCUUGGUGCUACUCGAAAAAGACAUUGUAACAUAUCUCAGAGCCUUACACCCAGGUAAUGUGAGUCUCCUCUUCUGCCUUGCUGCUGCACACAGAAGCGGAAUAUGUACAGGAUUGUUAAUCUCAUCUUGGAUCUUCCUGCACUUGUGAUUGUGACACAUGCCUCUGUGUAGAACCUGAGUGAGUUUACUCUCCUGCCUGGAUUUAACCCAUAGAUGGAAUCGUGACAUAUCACUGUACCAGAAACUAGGUGAUGUGACUCUAUUUUCUUGCCUCUGUGUUUUUAUAUGGGGCAUCGUGACAUAUCACUGGGCCUUGCACCCAAGUGAUGGGAGUUUUCUCUCCUGCUUUGGUGCCGUCCACAAUGAAAAUUGUGAAAUAUUGCUGCCCUCCCCACUAGGUUAUGUUACUCUCCUGCCUCUGCUUUGCCCACAUGGGUCACUGUGACAUAUUGCUGGGUCUAAAACCCAGGUAAUGUCACUCUCUUGUUUGGGUUCUGCCUGCAGGAGUCAUUGUCACAUAUCUCUAUGCUCAUCACCCAGGUAAUAUGAUUCCCUUUUACUGCUUAGUUCCUUCUCACAAAACAACUUGUGACAUAUUGCUAGGCCCAAUACACCUAGCUGGUGUAACUCUUCUUUUCUUUUCUUUCCUUUUUUUUUUUUUUUUUUUGAGAUGGAGUCUCACUCUGUUGCCCAGGCUGGAGUGCAGCGGCAUGAUUUCAGCUCACUACAGCCUCUGCCUCCUAGGUUGAAGCGAUUGUCCUGACUUGGCCUCCCAAGUAGCUGGGAUUAAAGGCAUGUGCCACCACGCCCGGCUAAUUUUUGUAUUUAUAGUAGAGACAGGGUUUCGCCAUGUUGGCUAGGCUGGUUUCGAACUUCUAACCUCAGGUGAUCCUCCUGCCUCGGCCUCCCAAAGUACUGGAAUUACAGGCAUGAGCCACUGCACCUGGCCUGAUUCUUCUCUUCUUUCUAGGUUUCAACUGCAGCAGAGAUUGUAACAAACCACUGGGCCCAGCCGCAUAAUGAUGUUACUCUUUUGCCUUGGGCCUGCCCUCAGAAGGCACUGUCACAUAUUCAUGGGCCCAACGCCAAGGUGAUAUGUGUCUCCAGCCUGGACCCUGCCCACAGGGGGCAUUGUGACAUAUCUCUUGGCCCAUCAGAUGUUUGAUUGUUAUCCCCUCCCCUCUUCUACCCUGUGUUUGCCUAUAAAAGACACAGUCAUAUGUUCCUGGGCCCAGCACCUAGGUGUUGUCUUACUGGAAUGUGUCCACAUGGGGAUUGUGAUAUGUCACGUGGCCCAGUACUUAACUUGAUGUGACUCUCCUCUCAUGCCUAGGCCUUGUAGAGAAUCCCCUUCCCCUUUUGUUUUCCUUUUUUUCUUUGCAGAUCCAGGAGAUAAUCAACUAAGAGCCAGGCACCCGUUUAGGUCUAAUAAACAUUUUACAAACUGCUCUCUCUUUUAAUUCACCUAUCUGAGAGAUUCCUCUGUACAAUAAAACUUGGUCUCCACAAUCCUUUACCUUAACCUAAACCUUCCCUUUCAUUGAUCCCAGGUCUUCAGAUUCCACCACUUGUCAACCACAAAAUAUUUAAAUUUACCUGGAAGCCGCCCGCUUUGAGUUGUCCCGCCUUUCUGAACCAAACCAAUAUAUUCCUGCAAAACCGGCCAUGAUUAAAACAUCAAAAAAUAAUACAUGUUGGCGUGGCUGUGGUGAAAAAAGAAUACUUUUUCACUGCUGGUGGGUAUGUAAACUAGUACAACCACUAUGAAAAACAGUAUGGAGAUUCAUUAAAUAAAAGUAAAGCUACCAUUUGAUUAAGCAAUUCUACUACUGUGUAUCUACAUGAAGAAAAAGAAAUUAUAUGUGUAAGACACUUGCACACACAUGUUUAUAGCAGCACAAUUUGCAAUUGCAAAAAUAUGGAAGCAGCCUAAUGCCCAUCAGCUAAUGAGUGGAAAAAGAAAAUGUGGCAUAUAUAUACCAAUGCAUACUACUCAGCCCUAACGAGGAAUAAAAUAAUAGCAUUUGCAGCAAUCUCGAUUUAGUUGGAGACCAUUAUUCUAAGUAACUCAGCAAUAAAAAA